CUGUUGUGCUUACUGGGUUCUGUGACAGUAAACAGAGAUUCUGUCAUGUUAAUGUGGGCCACCCUGGUAGCUGGCAUGAUGCACGGGCAUUCCGGUUGUCUGCUGUUGGAAGGCUGCUUGAUGAAGAUCCCCAGUCCCUGGUGCCUGAGGGAAUGCACAUCAUUGGGGACUCUGCCUACCCACUAUUGCCUCAGCUUAUGAGGCCAUACAGGGACAAUGGCCAUUUAACUGCUCGGCAGCGUCGUUUCAAUCAAAAAUUCAAUGUUGCACGCGUGGUCAUUGAGCAUACCUUUGGCCUACUGAAAACGAAGUUCAGGAGGCUCAAAUGUUUGUACAUGAAAAACAUUGCAAACAUUAGCACAGCAGUCAGUAGGCUUGUUUGAGACACAUUGCGGCUCGCCUCGAAAGUAGACGAGAGUAGCCGAUCGCAGCCGGGGGAGGUGUCAAAAAGCUCGUCUUAAGUCGGACAGCUCGGAGUCGGAGUCGGCUUGACUGGCUGGGUUUGCAAUGGCGGAAAUUGCGUUGGCGUUUUUCGUUGCAGAUGAAGUGGAUGCAAUAGAAAUCCCACAUGUAUUGUAUGGAGAAUGGCAUGAUGAACACCGUCUGCGGAGAUCCGUUCCAAAGGUCCAACAAUUUGUGGAAGAAGUGGUCCCACAGUACAGUCCUUCAGACUUCAAAAGUCAUUUCCGAUUGUCCAGGGGACAUGUGGAAGAUGUGAUGACGACUAUUGGCCCGUUCUACUGGAACAGACAGCACAGUAAAGUGCCGCUUCAAAACAGUGUUCUUGCCUGUCUGUGGACUCUAUCAAACCAGGAGUCCUAUAGGGGAGUUGCUGAUCGUUUUAAUAUCACCAAAUCCACUGUCUGCCUGCAUCUCCAUGAAUUCUGUAGUCUUGUCACCACAUAUUUGUCUCACCACAUUUCCUGGCCCACAGGGCAAGCCCUACAUAAUUCUGAGUUAGGAUUUCGUGCAGCAGGAUUUCCCAACACUGUCUGUGCGGUAGAUGGAUGCCACAUUCCUAUUGUGAAACCACACUGUGAGAACCCAGUAGCAUACAUCAACAGAAAACAGUUUUAUUCUGUUGUGCUUACUGGGUUACUGUCUCAAACAAGCCUAAAGACUUCAGACUUGACUUGGACUCGUGUUUUGGGACUCGUGAACAAUCAUUGUGUUUUCUA